UCAAACGGUAUUCUUUGGUUAAUAAUAAAGAUGAGCAACACGAGUCUCGGUCUAUUAUUGCUCGAGAAUACCCUUUGA
rnacentral:pre_miRNA from 1 species